rnacentral:rRNA from 1 species
UACGGAGGGUACAAGCGUUAUCCGGAUUCACUGGGUUUAAAGGGUGCGUAGGUGGGUUGGUAAGUCAGUGGUGAAAUCUCCGUGCUUAACAUGGAAACUGCCAUUGAUACUACUGAUCUUGAAUUUUCAGGAGGUAAGCGGAAUAUGUCAUGUAGCGGUGAAAUGCUUAGAUAUGACAUAGAACACCAAUUGCGAAGGCAGCUUACUACAGGAACAUUGACACUGAUGCACGAAAGCGUGGGGAGUGAACAGG